UAUUAUCACGUAUGGUGGUGGUGUGCAAGGAAAUGGAGCAGCAUGAUGGUAGCUAAUGCUGUUAUCUUCACAUGUAAGAUGUAUGAGCUUCAGUUAGUCAUGCUAUUAUCAUGUAUAGUCAAAAAUGAUUAGUUUAAUCGGAAUUUAGAGUUUCAUUCUUAGUUCUCUGAAAUAUUGUUUUUAUAUGUAAUUCCUGCAGAGUGUAGUAUAUUGGGAGCCAAGGCCGAGUAGCAAGCCAUGUGUCACCGCAAGGACAGGAGCGAGAUUUAAUUAAUUGUAUUUGCAAGAUUUGGUCUUCCGUUCUUGUUUUCUUGGUCAUCUCACAGGUUUUAUCACUUACAUUUCCUUCUAUGGUGGUCUGAUCAUUGUACUUUGGGACAUUGUACUUUUAGGACGUAAUGUGCACUUCUGGUUGUUAUUUUAAAUUGCUCAUGUCUUGAUAUGUCUUUCAAAUUCUUGACAUCUGCGCCAGUAGCCUAAACCUCCAUGGCAUGCUCCAUCGGAGUAUUUUGUUUGUUGCACAAUUUUCAAGUGCGACCUUCCAAUUUAUUUUGUUGUAACUAUAAGGUUUGGCACCUCAGAUAAGUUCUCGAAAUACCAAUGUCAUAUUUCAAUUAGAAAAUAAGUUUUAGUUUGAUCAUGCAUGCAAUUGUAAUAACCCUACUUUGAGCUUUUAUGUACUGGUUUAAAUAGUUAAAUCUUCUAGAUUCUUUUGCAUAUUUUCUUGGAAUUAUAC
rnacentral:lncRNA from 1 species